AGUGAACGCUGGCGGUAGGCCUAACACAUGCAAGUCGAACGGCAGCACAGUAAGAGCUUGCUCUUACGGGUGGCGAGUGGCGGACGGGUGAGGAAUACAUCGGAAUCUACUUUUUCGUGGGGGAUAACGUAGGGAAACUUAUGCUAAUACCGCAUACGACCUACGGGUGAAAGCAGGGGAUCUUCGGACCUUGCGCGAUUGAAUGAGCCGAUGUCGGAUUAGCUAGUUGGCGGGGUAAAGGCCCACCAAGGCGACGAUCCGUAGCUGGUCUGAGAGGAUGAUCAGCCACACUGGAACUGAGACACGGUCCAGACUCCUACGGGAGGCAGCAGUGGGGAAUAUUGGACAAUGGGCGCAAGCCUGAUCCAGCCAUACCGCGUGGGUGAAGAAGGCCUUCGGGUUGUAAAGCCCUUUUGUUGGGAAAGAAAAGCGGCAGGUUAAUACCCCGCUGUUCUGACGGUACCCAAAGAAUAAGCACCGGCUAACUUCGUG
rnacentral:rRNA from 1 species